rnacentral:rRNA from 1 species
UACACGCUGUGACUAGCAUAUCAAUAAGCGGAGGAAAAGAAACUAACAAGGAUUCCCCUAGUAACGGCGAGUGAAGCGGGAAGAGCUCAAAUUUGAAAUCUUAAAGGGUUUCCCUUUACGAAUUGUAGUUUAAAGAAGUGUUUUCUGUUGAGGUUUUGGUAAAAGUUCUUUGGAAUAGGACAUCAUAGAGGGUGAGAAUCCCGUAUUUGACCUUUACUUUCAACUUUGUGAUACACUUUCAAAGAGUCGGAUUGUUUGGGAAUGCAGUCCAAAAUGGGUGGUAAAUUUCAUCUAAAGCUAAAUGUUGGCGAGAGACCGAUAGCGAACAAGUACCGUGAGGGAAAGAUGAAAAGAACUUUGAAAAGAGAGUUAAACAGUACGUGAAAUUGUCAAAAGGGAAGCGUUUGACACCAGUGUUGUUUUUCUGAAAAUCAAUUAAAGAACUGUUUAUGCUAAGCUGUUUAGACUUUAUCAGCUAUCUGUUUAGUUUUGAGCCUUUCUUUAAUGCACUUUUCAGUUAACAAGUCAACAUCAAUUUCUUUUGCUGUAAAAAAGCUUGAGGAAGGUGGCUUGAGAUUCGUCUUAAGUGUUUAUAGCCUCUUGCCUAUGCAGUCGGAGAGAUUGAGGUCUGCAGCGUAGAUCCUUCGGGGCUAAAUGCAUUUGUGCUAAGUUAUAGCAUUUUAUAGACAACUUGUUGACUAUGAUUUGUCUUGUAGCUUACUCGCUUAUGUUAUUUAUACCUACGCUUAGGAUGUUGACGCGCGUGUGUGCGUG